rnacentral:lncRNA from 1 species
CUCAUUCAAAAAAUCUGUGACACACACACACACACACACUUACUCUCUCUCUCUCUCUACACAUCCGACCCCACCACCAACUCCAACCAUCGUCACCGGAAACCAACUCCCGCACUGUUAUCAUUUAAUUAACUUCCCCCAAAUUUUUAAAUCUACAAUCUACCUUCUACCUUCAUUUGCCACCUACUAUACGUCGCUAUCACCGCCUCCAAAGGUCCUUCUGCGGUGGAACUCUCCUUCCGAUGCCUAUUGGAAUUUUGCCACCAAACUCGCUGAAGCAUAUGGGGCAUUUGUCUCAUGGCACAUGAUGGACUAACAAUAAAAAUCAAAUUUCAAAGUCCAACCACUUCAUGAAUGGAUAGAGCAGCCUUAUCAUCAGUGAAGCUCCAUCGUCGGAACUCAAGAUUAACUCUAGUGUCGAAAUUAACUGCCCAAUGAAGGAGAAGUCGGUAGUAUUUUUUGUAAACUUUCAAAAAAGUGGCAAAAAAAUUAACGUAAGAGACAUUUUAUUACAAUUGUUCUCUACGUAUUUUCAUACUUCGAUAAUGUUCCAUAAUUACAUCAUUUUCUAUCUUGUCAAAUGCAUCUUUUCUCAAUGUAUAUAUAAUCAAACUAUCAAUCAACCAUUGAUCCCAGAUUCG